UCUAUGUCUAUUCUCAAUAUUUAACGAACUUUGCUCUAUCAGCUCAACCUUAUGCUCUCUAACAAAAAGAUAUUAUUUAGUAUCAUAUUUUUAUAUUGAAUAUUUAAUAAUAAAAUUUAGGUAGUAAGAACUUAUUCAAAAUAAUGCUCUAUCUCUUCAUAAUUGGUAAGCACAUACCAAUGAGCUAUAUCUUGCUCUUCUUUGGAUAGAAAAACAAACUGAGUUGCUCCAAAUAUCCUAAC
rnacentral:lncRNA from 1 species